GGCAUAGACAAACUAAAUAUUGGUCUCAGAUAUGUAAAAUACAAUAACAAGUAUUAUGCUGAAAUAUUUUUUUUGUCAACCCCUGCACUCUAUGCUUUCCUAUCCUAGAAUUAAAAGGAAAUGUAUACAUUUUAAUUACAUUUAUGUCGACAAUCAAAACAAACGCCUUUUUAGCUCACCUGGCCGAAAGGCCAAGUGAGCUUUUCUCAUCACUUGGCGUCUGGCAUCCGUCGGCGUCCGUCGGUGUCCGUCGUCGUCGUCGUCCUGCGUUAACUUUUACAAAAAUCUUCUCUGAAACUACUGGGCCAAAUUUAACCAAACUUGGCCACAAUCAUCAUUGGGGUAUCUAGUUUAAAAAAUGUGUCUGGUGACCCGCCAACUAACCAAGAUGGCCGCCAUGGCUAAAAAUAGAACAUAGGGGUAAAAUGCAGUUUUUGGCUUAUAACUCAAAAACCAAAGCAUUUAGA
rnacentral:lncRNA from 1 species